AUUGAACGCUGGCGGCAGGCCUAACACAUGCAAGUCGAGCGGAUGAAGGGAGCUUGCUCCUGGAUUCAGCGGCGGACGGGUGAGUAAUGCCUAGGAAUCUGCCUGGUAGUGGGGGGUAACGUCCGGAAACGGGCGCUAAUACCGCAUACGUCCUGAGGGAGAAAGUGGGGGAUCUUCGGACCUCACGCUAUCAGAUGAGCCUAGGUCGGAUUAGCUAGUUGGUGGGGUAAAGGCCUACAAAGGCGACGAUCCGUAACUGGUCUGAGAGGAUGAUCAGUCACACUGGAACUUAGACCCGGUCCAGACUCCUACGGGAGGCAGCAGUGGGGAAUAUUGGACAAUGGGCGAAAGCCUGAUCCAGCCAUGCCGCGUGUGUGAAGAAGGUCUUCGGAUUGUAAAGCACUUUAAGUUGGGAGGAAGGGCAGUAAGUUAAUACCUUGCUGUUUUGACGUUACCAACAGAAUAAGCACCGGCUAACUUCGUG
rnacentral:rRNA from 1 species